GCUGGGAUAGCUCAGUUGACAGAGCAUGAGACUUUUAAUCUCAGGGUUGUGGGUUCAGGCCCCAUGUUGGGCA